UAAAAUGUAUUUUAGAUAAAGUGUUCUCGAAUUUAAAAGGAGCUAGGCAUAUAUUUAUGUAAUUGUGGAAAAACUUUUUUUAAUAUUUGCUUAGAAAUUAGACGUUAGUCGACUUUAAUUAUAUCUAGUUUUUUUAGAAAUUAAUUAAAUUAAGUUAUUUUGUAAAAUAGAUUUUUAUUAUAAAUUUAUUUUUGGGGUAGGAAGUACUUAAAGGGAUAAGCUUUUAAGUAAAAAUUUAAAACUUGAUAUUUAUUAGAAGGGAAAUAGGAAUAGAAGUUUUCAUUUUUUUUUAGUGUUUUAUAGUAAUACUUUGAAUUAUAUAAUUUUGUAAAGUUUAAGUUUUUUAUAGAAAUUUAGGUUAUAAUUGGAAAAUUUUAGUAAUAAUGAUAGAAUUAGUAUAUAAAUAUGUAAUAGGUAAAAUUUAUUUUAAAGAUUAAGUUAAGGAAUUCGGCAAAUAUUUUCUUUGCCUGUUUAAUAAAAACAUGGCUUUUUGAGUAUAAUUUAAGGUCUGGCCUGCCCAAUGAUUUUUAAAUGGCCGCGGUAUUCUGACCGUGCAAAGGUAGCAUAAUCAUUAGUUUUUUAAUUGGAAGCUGGAAUGAAUGGUCGGACAAGGGAAAAGCUGUCUUUGUUUAAAUAGUAGAACUUUAUUUUUUAGUAAAAAGGCUAAAAUGAUUUUAAGGGACGAGAAGACCCUAUAGAAUUUGAUAUACUUUUUUUAAUAUUAUUUUAGGAUUAUUUGAUAUUAUUAGGAAAGGUGUAUUUAGUUGGGGCGAUAGAAAAAUUUAUAAAACUUUUUUUUAUUAUUUGCACUUAUUUGUGAAUUUAUGAUCCAUUAUUAGUGAUUAGAAGAUAAAAUUACCUUAGGGAUAACAGCGUAAUUAAUUUGGAGAGUUCAUAUCGAUAAAUUAGAUUGCGACCUCGAUGUUGGAUUAAAAUAAACUUUUGGUGUAGGAGCUAGAAAGUUAAGUCUGUUCGACUUUUAAAAUUUU
rnacentral:rRNA from 1 species